ensembl:lncRNA
CGUGAGGGACCCUCUGGGAGGCCUGUUGAUACAGGUUUGUCAGUGGAACAGACAGCUCACUGUGGCUUCCAUUUACAAGCUUCUUAAACUAGCUUCUAAACUAGCUUUUAACAAAGAAAAUGUGUUAAAGUACCAAUAAAACUGCUCUAAUAAGCCCUCCAUAGCAAACUCCUAAUUGAAGCUCAUAAAGAGAGCUCUAAACAGUAUUUAAAGUGCAAAGAAAACAUAUUGGUCCUCAAUGCAAACAAGUAGAUGUAGUGCUGAUGCAUUUUAUUUGACCAACAUGAAAGCUGCAGAACACAAAAAUGUAGGUAUGGGAUGUGUGUGGUUAGAAAGCUGGUUAUUGGCCUUACAAUCAGGUUUAAAAUCUCUCUCUACAACUGGCAAGGAGUUGUACAACAGCACAUCCAACCUGCCCUCAUCCAGAAACUUGUAAAAAUGCUUUAUCACUUAUUCCCUUUCUUAUAAUAACAGAUGUACCUGUACCUGAAAUGGGACAGUAGCAUUGCUCACUGCCUUGUGAUUUACUUCUGCAUUCCAUUGGUCCUGUGUCACAGUUUAGGCCCUUCAUGACAGCACAAAAACUUAAAUUACUCUGCACCGUGUUGAGGGCUUCCCAUGACCCUUCUUGACCCCUGCCAGGCACCUGCUUGCUGAAAGUAUCUCACUGACUGAGAUCCUCAGUCAGAUAACCAUCAGGCUCCUCCCCAACAUGGAGAACACAUGGCUUCUCCAUGGCUUAAGGGGAGAGAAGUGCAUACAAAUGGUAAAGUAGAGGAAAGGGAAAUUACAUUUGAGAAUGGUGUAUCUUGGAGAAAACAUGCCAACACAUAGCAACACAUCUCACCUCACCACAACGCCUAUAUCUUUGGGAAGCAAGCUUAGAAGCAAAUAUAUUCUCCUCCUGGUUGUAUAUCCAGCCACGAGCUCUACAAAACAGAGUUCCCAUCAACAGGAAAUAUCUUUCUCAUUCAGGAGUUUCUUAAUUCAGCAGUCUAUUCAGUUCUUGGUCUCUGUAUGCACCCAGACCUGGCAGUUGAAAAGAACACAGGCAAUCUACGACACUGAAGUUAAUGGAUACAUUAGCAACAACAGCUGGUACAAUUCAGAGAAUCACAGACUAUCCUGCGUUUGAAGGGAUCUACAAAGAUCAUCGAGUUCAGCUCCUGAUUCAACAAAGCACCACUCCAAAUUCAAACUCUGCAUUUAAGAAAGUUGUCCAAAUGCUCCCUGAACUCCAUGCCCACUGCCCUGGGCAGCCUGUUCCAUUCCCACUGCCCUCUGGUGAAGAACUUUUCCCUAUCCCCCACCUGACUCUCCCCUGACACAGCUCCAUGCCAUUCCCUUGGGCCCUGUUGUUAUCACCAGAGACCAGAGAUCACAAUUACGAUGGAUUGGUCAUUAAUACAGUUGUGUGUCCUUCAAACUUCUGUGCUACUUCAUUGACAAGGAGUAUCCUGAUAUCAGAAAAACAAAAAGGAGGGGAAGUCACAGGCAUAGGCAAAGUGGUCAAAUUUUGGGGAUGCUAUCAGUAGUGUCUCUUAUGAUUUGUUCCUAAUGCCAUAGGAGUGAAUUGCACAAUUAUCAC